AAAAAAAAAAAAAAAAAAUAAUAAUAAUAAUAAUAAUAAAUAAAAAAAAUAAUAAUAAUAAUAAUACUCUAUACUAAGCCAUGUCUGCAUCUCUGUAGGAGUUGAGGCUGAGCUCAAGGGAAAUGUGAGAGCCACCGCCAUAACCGCUACCUCCCUCGGAAGUAGUCUUCAUGAUGCCCAAGAUGUCCUCACCAUGCAUGGGGAACAAUGGAAGGGUUUCAAUCUCCAGGUGAUCUCCUCCUCAUUGUUGCAGGGAUGUUUGUCCUCCUGUUGUGCCAAAAGAGUUGUACUGGUAUUAGUGUUGAAGUGUGAGGAAGAAUAUGAAACAAAAUUUAAAUCAAGAAAUCCUUCAUUACCAGUAGAAUCGGUGGAACCAAAGUUGAGAUUAAUGGAUCUACCAUCAUCAGUAGAACUAGUGGACCCAAAAUUGAUGUCAAUGGAUCCACCAGCUGGCCCAAAAUUGAUGUCGAUGGAUCCACCAGCACCAGUAGAACCAGUGGACCCAAAAUUGAGAUCAAUGGAUCCACCAGUACCAGGAGAACUAGUUCCCAUGGGCACUUGAGCAGCCUGAUUGCACCUCUUCAUCUGCUUCUCUCGAGCCCUGACAUUCUGGAACCAAAAAUAAAUGUUCUUGCCCUCAACAUGUCCAUACUGGUUCAGCUGGAGACAGAUCUCGUGAAUAUGCUCUGUAGUUGGGCGCUUAACUCCCUUGUCGUAGUAAAGAUCCUUGAGGAUCCUUAUUUGAUCUGGAGUAGGAACCCACCUGGCACGGCUUCGCCAGAAAUCUGUGUUGGCACUACUCCCGGCUGCUUGGUUGUUUCCUCCAUCCUCGAUUUGUUGCUGGGUUUGUAGCUCCAUCAGUUGCAGAGUUCGUGGUUCCAUGGUGAUGGGUUGAGGGGAUGUGAAGAUCGAAGAGUAAAGUUGUCAAGUGUUUGAAGGAGUUGUUGUUAAAGGGAUUAAGGAUGAUGAUGGUGUGUUGGAGAUCUGAAAGUUCAGAGGAAAGAUGGGAUUGAAUCAACUAGAUGGGAGAGAAGAUCAGAAGAGAAGGAUUGAAUCGAAGAAGAAAUAUUUUGAGUUUUGAAAGAAGAGGAAAAGCUGAAGAGUUGGGAGAGAGGGGCUGGAACUCAGGAGAGAUUUUCGUUCCUUUGGAGUGAACAGUUGCGCCCUCAGAAUGCACCUAUUUAUAGAGCGAGGUGAGCAGAUCUCCACCGUUGGAUGGACGAUUCCUGUGAUUCAUUCUACGCGUUGGAUUAAAGUCGCCCUGAAACCCGGAAAAGUUGUUGGCGCGUGGAGAGCGUGUAAGGGGACCGAGGGAAUCUCGAGGCGCUGUGGCAGACAGCUGUAGCCGAAAGCAGAUUUGACUGCCGUAAAUCACGGAAGGGAUAAGCCGUGACACAAGUGGGCCGUACUUGGGCCUGUCUCGGAUCAAGGCAUCACUGUAGCUGUGGGUGGAGGCCUGAUGGGCCGAGUUUCAGAAACAGUUUUGGACAUGAUGGGCCGAGUUUCUGAAACAGUUUUGGAUGAGUUGGGCUGGGUUUCUGCAACAGUCUUGGAUGUUUUGUGCCGAAUUGUUGAAACAGUUGAAACAGUUGGUUUAAAUAAAAGGAUUGGUAUGGAUAAUAACGUGAGCAGCCGUGCUCGAGUGGUUGAGUGUAAAGUUCGUGUACAAGAGGUCUGAGGUUCGAACCUCGCCUCUCGUUUAUUUUUAUUAUGUUCGUUUAUGACAUAAUAAGUAUAAAAUUUGUACACAUUAUAUUAAGCACAGCUUGUGCUCCAGUGGUUGGGGACAAAGGUUUCGUGUAGCAGGUUAAGGUUUCGAACCUUGCCUCCCCCGUUUUUUUUUAUUUAUGUCACUCCAUCAGAACCCUCCUCCGAAGGCUGAAACCAGCAAGAAGGCUGCCACUCGCCCGCAUACCGCUCCUCCAAAGGAGUAAAUGGAGGUACAAGUCUAGGCUGAAAGACUUUAAACAUUAAGCGCUGCAUGGGAGGCAACCCAUUUCAACCGUAGCUGUGGAGGAGCCAUUAACGCAGAUUUGCUCUCUUAAACUCUAUCUCCUCUAUUACUAUUUUCUGAUUGUAUCUUUGUUAUUUGCGUUUUUAGUUUUUGUUUUUAGGUUUUCUUGAGUUAAUCAUUCCAUUCACAUGAUAAUUGUUCAUUGCAUGCUCUAACUUGUUUAACAUUGAGGACAAUGUAUGAUUUAAGUGUGGGGGGAAGGAUUAAUGCUUGUAGUUAGUUUUUGUCAUAAAAAGAAAACAAAACAAAAAAAUCGAAAAAUGUCAGAAAAAUAAAAAAUUUUCGUUGCUUUUGUUUUUGUUUUGAGUCUUAGGAUGCCUUUCAACUGUCUGGGAUGAUUCUAUAUCUCUGAAAUCAUGACUAAAAGAGGAUCACAACAUUGAGAUGAUUUUAAACAUGGUAUUCUUUGGUUAAUUGAGAUAUAUGAAAAAUGUGUGCCUUGUAGUGGAUAUGGAUUGCAUGACCUUGGUACAGAAUAUGAGCAUGUUAAGAUGAGUUGUGAUUCAUAAAGCCAUGUGAGAUAAUUGAACCAUGUCCCUUUUUCUUGGAGUGAAAUGAAAAAUAUAUUCUUAAUUUCUUGGCGAUGUUUUGAUGAUCUCAUUAUUCUUUCAUCUUGAUUGACUGCUUGCCAUAGAUUAAGUUUAAUGGACUAGAGAAUGCUAGAAUUCGCUCUUGUGCUUGUUGAGACGUGAUAUCAAUACAUGGCCCUGAUUCUGGAAGGGAUAGAGGUUCUCUAGGAAUUACCACCAUUGCCAAAUAAACUUGUGUCCCCAUUUGUGCCCGUCGUGGGACCCCCCUAGAUAAGCCCCUUUGAGCCUACAUUAAGCCUUUUCGUUCAUCACCCUUAAAAUCCUUAACCAUGAAGCUUAGUAUAGUUACAACCCUACCCUUUGUUCUAAGGACUUAGUGGAGCUAUCUUUUGAGACAUACUACAUGGGUUUGGUGCUAAGGAUGAAGAUUGAGAAGAGGUGAAAGUUCAAGUGUGGGGAUAGACUUGUCCAUAAAGAAAAAGAUAUGUUGAAGCCGUGAAAAAUGAAAAGAAAAGAGAAAAAUUGUGUACGGCUAAAAAGAAAAAGAAAGAAAAAAAAUAUAUGUUUAUGGACUUUCAUCCCCCAUACUUAGUGAUUUUGGAGUUUGCUUUGAAUUGAAGGCCCACUACAGAAAAAUUUGGCCUUUGUCCAUUUCACUAGAGUUCAAGGGAAGUUUAUAUUGAAGAUUGGGCCCAACAUGAAGACAUUUGGCCCUCUUAUAUUACCUCUAUGGAGAAGUGACGUUUUUGCAAUGCCUUGGUGAAAUAUUUCGAGAUCUCUACAUUCAUAUGAGCUCUACUAGGUUUUUAGGACACUUUGAUAAUCCUUACCUUUCAUUUCUUUAAACCUUGAGCCUUAGCCCCAUUACAACCUUUGAGAGGACCUUCUUGAUCCUUAAGAUGGGACAGCCUUUGAUGUGGAGAUGAGUUACAAGAGUUGAACCUAUGGCUUGGGUCCAUUCGUGCAAGUAGUUGAUAUCCUUCAUGAGAUCUUUUGAAAAAAAUUAUAUUCACAAAGUGCUUUUCGUUUCUUAUAUAUGUGAGCUAUUUGACUGCCUUAAAAUAUGUUCUCUCACAUAUAAAUGAGUGAUUAUAAGCUUUUAAGCAUUGCCUUGAUCUGAGAGAAGAAAGAGUGGAUAUACCUUGUGAGGAUAUGAAUCAUACUUGUCUGAAGCAUGCUAAGCUAAACCCCAUCACCAUUGUUACAACCAAGUCCUACUUGUGUAUGUGUGGAUUAUAUGUUUUAAUUAACUCUCGAAUGCUUAACAUUGAUUCUUGGUUGAGUGCUAAUCUUGGUGUUGUGAAAGUAAGAGAUUUCUGAGACAAUAUGUUAAAGGGCAAUAGAGGUCUUUGUGAUGUCAACAUCUUGGUCUUUGUCUUUGAAUUUACUCUUUUAUGUGUGACGUUUUUUUUUUUCUUUGUGUUUUGCUUUGUGUUUUACGUUUUUGGUUUCUUUGAGUCUUUGUGUUUUUGUUUCCAUACUUAGUCAUUUUUUUCGUUGGUUUCUUUGUUUUGUGUCAUAGUCUUUUUGGUUUGUUAGUUUUUGAUUUUGCUAAGGGACUAGCAAAAGCUAAGUGUGGGGGAAUUUGAUAGGAGCAUUUUAAUGUGGUAUUUUAAUAGUUAAUUCCUCACAUUUUGCUUAGUUAAUUCCUUAACGAAUCGAUUUUUAACUCAAUUUCUAUUUUCUUAGGUACAUUGGAGUAAAUGAUGGUGAAAUGAGCAUUAGGUCCACACUUACCUAUAAAUGGUGGAGAAAAAUGGAAAUGUACUAAAAUGUCAAUUUUACACAUUUUCCUACUCCGGCUAGGAGAAACCAAGCCAAGCAAGGAAGAAGGAGCGGCCGCCGGACCAAAUGAACUUCAAAUGAGCUGAAACUUUCCAGAUCCAUUCUACACAUCCUAAGGAUCAUUUCUUAUGAAGAGUGCCAGAGCUAUAAUUGAGUGGAAGGCCUUCAAACAAUCAGCCCAAUUUUCUACAGAAGCAAAAACUGAAAAACUGGACCUGUAAGAGGUCCAGCAGCAUUUUCGGCCCAACCACAUGGAAUAAAAAUCUGAAAUUUUACCAGGGUGAUCUACACUCAUAAUGGAACAUUUUUUAUGAAGAGGUCAUAGUGAAAUUGGGAAUGCUUGUUGGAGAAAUAAUUGAAGGAAUAAAGGGGCAGAAACUGAUCUAAAAACAGCUCAACACCACAUGUUCAAGUUUCCUACCCACAUGAAGAAAGCUAGAUGCUUUUCUCUUUUUCCUUGGAUAUAUUUUUCUGCUCCAAUAGAUCAUCAUCACUUCCAUACUUCUACACCUUCAUGCCUUGCUUUCAUUUCAUCAUUACUCCAUCUUUUCCAUAUUUUACAAACCACUUUCAUUAUUUUUCUUCCAUUUAUCAUUUCACUCUUCUUUUUCUUCCCUAUAUAAACACAUUCUCCUCUCACUCUAAAUACAUUCCUUCAUCCAUUUCAUCUUCUUUGUCUCUCCAUUUCCAUUCCAUUUUUCUCUCCAUUCUCUAGUUGCAAAAUUCUGCGUUUUCAAGUAAGAAGAAGAAGAAGAAGAAGGAGCCGGGAAUAUCAUAUCCUCCAUCGUCCACCUUGAAGGCUUGCUUCCAAGAUUCAAGAUUUCAACGUUUCAAGCACUCCAUCUCCAUCUCCAACUCACGGUGUGUACCCUCAAUCCCCGGAAUAGAACGAUCCCUAUUUGCUUAUACUACUAACGAUGUUUUUAGGGUUAAAUUAUGCGCUUGCUUUGAGCGUAUCACCUUCGAUCUAUACCUAUUUCUUCCUAAAUCCGAGAUUUUAAUUUGGGUUUGUGAUUUUGUUUGCAUGAACCCGAUUUCUCCUUGAACCAUCAAGCUAGGCUAUGGGUUUGGCAAGGAUUUUUGGUAAGGAUCUAUCCAUGCAACCUUGUUUUCGAGUUUUUGGUUGAGAUGUUGAUUAUGGACGGAUUUGUAGGUGAAGAAGGCCAAGGAGAAAGUAUAUGACGUGAUUUUUGAAGGAGAAAGGGUAAGGAAUGGGUUUUGGACAAACCCUAGAAUUUUUGGAAUUUAUUUGAUUGAUUUGGUUUAUGUUGAGCUAUUGUUGUUGUUGGAAAAAUUGUGAAAUUAGAGAUUUGAGGAUGGAUAAAUUAGUAGGAUUUUAUUAGCAUAAUUUUCUUAGUGUUGGAAUUUUGUUGUUGAAGAUUUGGUAAUUAUAGUUGUGUAGUUUUGGCCAAAGGAAAAAGAAAAGGAAGGAGAAAAGAAAUGGAUUUGUUCUUGGAAAAAAAGGGAAAAUAAAGAAAAUGGUAAAAAUUGGAUUAAAUGAGUUUUUACCUUGGUAAAGUGGUAAAAAAGUGAAGAAGGUGAAAGUAAAGGUAAAUUCGGUAAAAAGGAGGUAAAAGGUAAAAGUGAAAGUGUGGAGGUAAAAGUCAUGGUAAAAGUGAAAAGGUGAAAAAUGAGAAGUAAAUGGAUAAAAGUAAAAGUAAAACUUUAUUUAUAAUUAUUUACUUAUUUAUUUUUAAUAAAUAAUAAAUAAUGGUAAAUAAAGGAUUACUUGGUCAAAAGUCAGAAAUCAAAGUCAAAGGUCAAAAGUCAACUCCGAGAGUUGACCAGGGUUGACCGACCUCGUAAAACAUAAGGAUCGACUCAACUUUGGUCGCUCGGAUUGGCGAAAGUUUAGCGGAGCGAUAAUGACGUUUUCCUUUUUAAGAAAGAAGUUAGUUUCCCAAAUUGGUAAAGGUUGAAAGAAAUAAUUAAUGGUCUCAUUGAAAUAAAAAGGAUUUAGUAUGCGCGAUUACUUAAAGUUGAUCAUGAUGUUUACCUGGAUAAUUACUUACAAACUAAGUAAUGGUUUAGGAAACACGAUCGUUAAGGAAGCUUAAGCGGAAAGCAUCAGAGUGUGGAGUACGCCAACAUUUUCCAGGUUACAACGAGGUCAUUCCGGACGAUUUGGAUUAGAGGUGGGUCGUUGGCCGAGUCCGUGUGUUGCUGUUCCUGUUGCUUGAAGUUCUUCCCAUUUGGUACUCUAUCGAUUUACUAGCUUCUCUUUCUAUGUUGAACUCUGUGAGGUCCGCCUACCUGGGAGCGCGCCUCACCCCUUUGUUUUACUGUUAUUGUUGAACUCCUUUCAUUUCGGUUAUGAUGUAAGCCCUAAGGCGCCACAGUGCACUUGCCACUUUAUUUUUAAGCAUGUCCAGACUUGUUAUUUUAAAUGUUGGGUUGUUGAUUUAAAGUCCUUUCUUAAAAGUU